GUCGGGUGCUAUACAUGCAGUCGAGCGACAGAUAAGGAGCUUGCUCCUUUGACGUUAGCGGCGGACGGGUGAGUAACACGUGGGUAACCUACCUAUAAGACUGGGAUAACUUCGGGAAACCGGAGCUAAUACCGGAUAACAUUUGGAACCGCAUGGUUCUAAAGUGAAAGAUGGUUUUGCUAUCACUUAUAGAUGGACCCGCGCCGUAUUAGCUAGUUGGUAAGGUAACGGCUUACCAAGGCGACGAUACGUAGCCGACCUGAGAGGGUGAUCGGCCACACUGGAACUGAGACACGGUCCAGACUCCUACGGGAGGCAGCAGUAGGGAAUCUUCCGCAAUGGGCGAAAGCCUGACGGAGCAACGCCGCGUGAGUGAUGAAGGGUUUCGGCUCGUAAAACUCUGUUAUUAGGGAAGAACAAACGUGUAAGUAACUGUGCACGUCUUGACGGUACCUAAUCAGAAAGCCACGGCUAACUACGUGCCAGCAGCCGCGGUAAUACGUAGGUGGCAAGCGUUAUCCGGAAUUAUUGGGCGUAAAGCGCGCGUAGGCGGUUUCUUAAGUCUGAUGUGAAAGCCCACGGCUCAACCGUGGAGGGUCAUUGGAAACUGGGAAACUUGAGUGCAGAAGAGGAAAGUGGAAUUCCAUGUGUAGCGGUGAAAUGCGCAGAGAUAUGGAGGAACACCAGUGGCGAAGGCGACUUUCUGGUCUGUAACUGACGCUGAUGUGCGAAAGCGUGGGGAUCAAACAGGAUUAGAUACCCUGGUAGUCCACGCCGUAAACGAUGAGUGCUAAGUGUUAGGGGGUUUCCGCCCCUUAGUGCUGCAGCUAACGCAUUAAGCACUCCGCCUGGGGAGUACGACCGCAAGGUUGAAACUCAAAGGAAUUGACGGGGACCCGCACAAGCGGUGGAGCAUGUGGUUUAAUUCGAAGCAACGCGAAGAACCUUACCAAAUCUUGACAUCCUUUGAAAACUCUAGAGAUAGAGCCUUCCCCUUCGGGGGACAAAGUGACAGGUGGUGCAUGGUUGUCGUCAGCUCGUGUCGUGAGAUGUUGGGUUAAGUCCCGCAACGAGCGCAACCCUUAAGCUUAGUUGCCAUCAUUAAGUUGGGCACUCUAGGUUGACUGCCGGUGACAAACCGGAGGAAGGUGGGGAUGACGUCAAAUCAUCAUGCCCCUUAUGAUUUGGGCUACACACGUGCUACAAUGGACAAUACAAAGGGCAGCUAAACCGCGAGGUCAUGCAAAUCCCAUAAAGUUGUUCUCAGUUCGGAUUGUAGUCUGCAACUCGACUACAUGAAGCUGGAAUCGCUAGUAAUCGUAGAUCAGCAUGCUACGGUGAAUACGUUCCCGGGUCUUGUACACACCGCCCGUCACACCACGAGAGUUUGUAACACCCGAAGCCGGUGGAGUAACCAUUUAUGGAGCUAGCCGUCGAAGUGACAAAAG
rnacentral:rRNA from 1 species